rnacentral:rRNA from 1 species
UGCAUAUCAAUAAGCGCGGAGGAAAAGAAACCAACAGGGAUUGCCUUAGUAACGGCGAGUGAAGCGGCAAAAGCUCAAAUUUGAAAUCGGCCACCAGGUCGAGUUGUAAUUUGUAGAUUGUAUCUUGAGAGCGGAUUAAAGUCUGUUGGAACACAGCGCCUUAGAGGGUGACAGCCCCGUAAAAUCUAUUCUCAUUGUAAGAUACUUUCGAAGAGUCGAGUUGUUUGGGAAUA